rnacentral:rRNA from 1 species
GAGUAAAGAUUUCGGUCGCUUUGGGAGGAGCUCGCUUACUAUCAGCUUGUUGGUAGGGUAAUGGCCUACCAAGGCUAUGACGGUUAGGGGGUGUGAGAGCAUGACCCCCAGCAUUGGCACUGAAACACUGGCCAAACACCUACGGGUGGCUGCAGUCGAGAAUCUUCCACAAUGGGGGAAACCCUGAUGGAGCGAUGCUGCGUGCGGGAUGAAGGCCUUCGGGUUGUAAACCGCUUUUGUAGGGGACGAGAUUUUUGACGGUACCCUUUCGAAUAAGAGGUUGCUAACUCUGUGCCAGCAGCAGCGGUAAUACAGAGACCUCAAGCGUUAUCCGGAUUUACUGGGCGUAAAGCGUCUGUAGGGGGUUUAUUAAGUUCCAAGUAAAAUUUCAAGGCUCAACUUUGAAUUCGCUUGGAAAACUAAUAAACUGGAGUCUAGCAGAGGUGCAUGGAACUUGUGGUGUAGGAGUGAAAUCCGUUGAUAUCACAAGGAACACCAAAGGCGAAGGCAUUGCACUGGGCUAGCACUGACCCUGAGAGACGAAAGCGUGGGGAGCAAAACGGAUUAGAUACCCGUGUAGUCCACGCCCUAAACGAUGAAUGCUAAAUGUUCGGGGAUUCGACCCCCUGGGUGUUACAGCUAACGCGUUAAGCAUUCCGCCUGGGAAGUACGGCCGCAAGGCUAAAACUCAAAGGAAUAGACGGGGAUCCGCACAAGCGGUGGAGCGUCUGGUUUAAUUCGACAGUAAGCGUGGUACCUCACCAGGGUUUGACAUCCCUUGACAGCCUUGGAAACAGGGUUUCCUUCGGGCAAGGUGACAGGUGCUGCAUGGUCGUCGUCAGUUCGUGCCGUGAGGUGUUCCGUUAAGUCGGGAAACGAACGAAACCCCUAUUGCAUGUUACAAUUUCUCAUGCAAGACUGCCCGGAUAUACUGGGAGGAAGGUGGGGAUGACGUCAGAUCUGCAUGGUCCUUAUACCCUGGGCGACACAGGCGCUACAAUGGCAGAGACAAAGGGUUGCAAAACCGCAAGGUGAAGCUAAUCCCAAAAACUUUGUCUAAGUUCGGAUUGAAGGCUGCAAUUCGCCUUCAUGAAGCUGGAAUCGCUAGUAAUCGUGAAUCAGCCACGUCACGGUGAAUAUGUUCCCGGAUCUUGUACUCACCGCCCGUCACACCAAGAGAGUUGGUAGCUCCCGAAG